AGAAGAUUGGAGCAUUGCAGGCUUAACUGCAAGACAGGGAGAUCCUAGAUGGUGAUGAUGGAUGAGUGCUCAUCCUCCUUCUGGGACUUUGCUUAUUGGGUCCCCCAAGAUACGUUCAGUGUGUAUCUGAGGACAUCAGUAUACUAAUGACAUCCAACUCUACCUCUCCUCUUCUGACCCUGGUCCCCCAGUCUGAGUCCUUCCCCAGUGCCAAUCUACAGUUGAGGACUGGAUGCAAAUGAACCAAUGAAGCUGAAUCCAGAAAAGACAGAGGUGAUGGUAGUUGGCAGAUCUCAUUACUUGGGGAGAUAGGGACAUCUGUCAUUUAAGAGGUUUUGCCUCCUCUCUUCACUCAAGUCUACAGCCUUGAGGUGCUCCUGGAUCCCUUGCCACACCUGCAUUUUCAGGUUGCAGCAGUGGUUUAGAGUGUCUUUCACCAACUUGAUCUGGCAACCUUUUCUUUCAAGAUUCAGAUCUCACCACCAUCCUCCAUGCCUCCACAACCUCAAGGUUAGACUAUUGCAGUGCUCUCCAUGUAAGGCUACUCUUGAAGACACUUUGGCAGUGGUAGCUGGUGCAGAAUGGGUAGGGUGCCAGAAGCACGAUUAACCAAAUGCUCCAGAGUUUGCAAUAACUUCCUGUAGCCUUCCAGGCAUAAUUCAAGGUGCUGGUCUUGACCUAUAAAGUCUUAAAUGGCCUGAGUCCUAUGUACAUAAUGGACACUCUCCUCCCCUAUGCUCAAUCACCAUUCCUAAGCUUACCAGAGAACAACCUCCAACAAGCACCAUCUGUGCACCAGUUCUCAUGGCCAAACCACAUGGGAGACUGUUGCUCCCUUCCCCCUAAGGCCUGUUAGAUCCCAACUGCACAUCUUUUGAAUGACCUUUACUUGAGCAGGCACCUGCAGGGUAGUGUUAACCUUUGGUUGUUCUUUGGGGAAUUAUUUUUUUUAUUUGUCUUUAUGACUUUGUUAUUAUAAGCUGCCCUAAGCCUUUUAUGGGAGAUGACAUAGAAAUCAAAUUAAUAAAAUGCACAAAGCGUGUAAACAGCCCAGCAUAUAUGUGCACAUGCACACACACAAACAAAUGUACACAUGCAACCAUACAGAUGCACCAAGAUACUCCUAUAAGGAGGGAUCUACUUAAAUUGCAGUGGUUUCUGCGAUCACCGUGAAAAAUGGUAUUUCCUACAAUUGUCCGUGGAAUCCUCCCCCCCAC